rnacentral:rRNA from 1 species
UACGUAGGGUGCAAGCGUUGUCCGGAAUUAUUGGGCGUAAAGAGCUCGUAGGCGGUUUGUCACGUCGGCUGUGAAAUCCCGAGGCUCAACCUCGGGCCUGCAGUCGAUACGGGCAGGCUAGAGUACUGCAGGGGAGACUGGAAUUCCUGGUGUAGCGGUGGAAUGCGCAGAUAUCAGGAGGAACACCGGUGGCGAAGGCGGGUCUCUGGGCAGUAACUGACGCUGAGGAGCGAAAGCGUGGGGAGCGAACAGG